AAACUCCUCAGCUUCCUCCAGUUUCAAUCCCACCUUCAUCAAAUCCUCCACUCCCACUUCUCUUAUGUUCUUUCCCAUUUUUUCCUCUCUCUCUCGUUAACAAGUUCUGAUCUUUUUUUCAGUUACCAAUAGACAUUUGGGAGUCCCUAUGUAACAUAGCAUUUACCAUAGACAUUUAUUGUUAACAGGUAAUAACAGGUGUAGAAGAUUGAAAAAGGUAGGUGGUUGAACAUGCGGUGUGUUUCUGAUGAUUAAAAAAAUGAGUCAACGACCCCAGUUUCGAUAUACGAAAAACAC
rnacentral:lncRNA from 1 species